rnacentral:rRNA from 1 species
GUGUCCCUAGUAGAGAGGAAAUACCCAGUCCCAUCCCGAACCUGGAAGUCAAGCUCUCUAACGCCGAUGAUACUGCCCUUUGCAA